GCGGCUGAGAGCUGGGUGAGCCUGGGAGGGUAAGCUCAUGGGGCAGGGGGAGGACCCCUCGGCCAAGCCACGGCGCUUCCUGCGUCCGCACACGUGAAAGCAGAAAUCACUGGACGGUCCCUCUGCAGAGACUGGUGACACUAGGGACCCGCCUGCACGGACGAUACUCUGCAGAUGUUAAGAGAACGCAGCCACAAGUGUUGACCGGUAGCUCAAGUCGAACUAUAGGAAACUGCCACUGUCGGUUACAAAGCUGUCACAGGUCAUCAGGUGCAUCCGGGAUUGGAUGGCAGCUCCUGAUCCUUCCUGGUUCCAGCCGACUGUCUUCCCCACCCCACCCCACCCCCCGCAGGAAACGAUCAAUAAACACGCAAGAUGCAGCCGUCCCAAGAAAUAGCUCAGUGUCCUCAUUUCUUGGCCAAAGGGAGAAAGUGGGAAGAGGAACCCAGGACCAUGUGGCCAGCCUCGCACACUGUCAUAAAAGGAGUCCCAGGACCCCUGACCCAGGGCAGCAGGGAGAGAGGUGAGACAGAGUUCAUGAAGAGGCAGGAAGCCCAGCAUGAGUUGCCUGCCAUAAAUAAAUAAAUCCAGAGGCCACCCUGCAAA